GACGAACGCUGGCGGCGUGCUUAACACAUGCAAGUCGAACGGAAAGGCCCUGCUUUUGUGGGGUGCUCGAGUGGCGAACGGGUGAGUAACACGUGAGUAACCUGCCCUUGACUUUGGGAUAACUUCAGGAAACUGGGGCUAAUACCGGAUAGGAGCUCCUGCUGCAUGGUGGGGGUUGGAAAGUUUCGGCGGUUGGGGAUGGACUCGCGGCUUAUCAGCUUGUUGGUGGGGUAGUGGCUUACCAAGGCUUUGACGGGUAGCCGGCCUGAGAGGGUGACCGGCCACAUUGGGACUGAGAUACGGCCCAGACUCCUACGGGAGGCAGCAGUGGGGAAUAUUGCACAAUGGGCGGAAGCCUGAUGCAGCAACGCCGCGUGCGGGAUGACGGCCUUCGGGUUGUAAACCGCUUUCGCCUGUGACGAAGCGUGAGUGACGGUAAUGGGUAAAGAAGCACCGGCUAACUACGUGCCAGCAGCCGCGGUGAUACGUAGGGUGCGAGCGUUGUCCGGAUUUAUUGGGCGUAAAGGGCUCGUAGGUGGUUGAUCGCGUCGGAAGUGUAAUCUUGGGGCUUAACCCUGAGCGUGCUUUCGAUACGGGUUGACUUGAGGAAGGUAGGGGAGAAUGGAAUUCCUGGUGGAGCGGUGGAAUGCGCAGAUAUCAGGAGGAACACCAGUGGCGAAGGCGGUCCUCUGGGCCUUUCCUGACGCUGAGGAGCGAAAGCGUGGGGAGCGAACAGGCUUAGAUACCCUGGUAGUCCACGCUGUAAACGGUGGGUACUAGGUGUGGGGUCCAUUCCACGGGUUCCGUGCCGUAGCUAACGCUUUAAGUACCCCGCCUGGGGAGUACGGCCGCAAGGCUAAAACUCAAAGGAAUUGACGGGGCCCCGCACAAGCGGCGGAGCAUGCGGAUUAAUUCGAUGCAACGCGUAGAACCUUACCUGGGUUUGACAUGGAUCGGGAGUGCUCAGAGAUGGGUGUGCCUCUUUUGGGGUCGGUUCACAGGUGGUGCAUGGCUGUCGUCAGCUCGUGUCGUGAGAUGUUGGGUUAAGUCCCGCAACGAGCGCAACCCUUGUUCACUGUUGCCAGCACGUUAUGGUGGGGACUCAGUGGAGACCGCCGGGGUCAACUCGGAGGAAGGUGGGGAUGGCGUCAAGUCAUCAUGCCCCUUAUGUCCAGGGCUUCACGCAUGCUACAAUGGCUGGUACAGAGAGUGGCGAGCCUGUGAGGGUGAGCGAAUCUCGGAAAGCCGGUCUCAGUUCGGAUUGGGGUCUGCAACUCGACCUCAUGAAGUCGGAGUCGCUAGUAAUCGCAGAUCAGCAACGCUGCGGUGAAUACGUUCCCGGG
rnacentral:rRNA from 1 species